rnacentral:rRNA from 1 species
AUUGAUUUUCUUGUUUGUUUUAUUAGGGUUUUAUUUUAUAUUUUUGUUGAAGAAUCAUUUUAGUUAUUGUAAGUUUUUGAUUUAAUUUUUUUAACGAUAGUUUAUUUGUACCGUGAGGGGUUUAUUUGUUUAUUGUUUUUUUAGAAGUAGAUUUUAUUUUUCGUACCUUGUGUAUCAGGGUUCAUUGAAUUUUAUUAUUUAUUUUUAUUUCCCGAUUUAUGAGGAGUUAAUAAUUUGUUUUAUUUACUGUUUCAUUAGUAUUAAUAACAUAUUGUUGGUAGUGAAAUGUUAUUCGUCUUUUAUGGUUUCUGGUUUCUUGAGAAAUGAAUUUAAUUCAUGUAUUUUAUUUAAUUUAUGUAUUUUUUACAUUUAAUGUUUUAUUUUAUGCUAAGAUUAAGGGGGAUUAGCUCCUUAUUUUAUUAUUAUAAUUUACUUAAUUAAUUUAGUUUUGUGGAUUUUAUAUUGAUUUUCAAUUUGAUUAUGUUAAAAUUUUAUUUGUUCUUUUUUUUAUUUUAGUUUUAUUUAAUUUAUUUAUUGGGAUGUUUAUUUUUGUUUUUAUUGUAUAGUAAUUAUUGUGUAAUUAGUAAAUUUUUCUUUUUGUAUUGUUUAUUUGUUUUUUGUUAAUUUCUUUUUAGGAAUUCGGCAAAGUUUUAUGCCCGCCUGUUUAACAAAAACAUCUUUUCUUGUUAGUUUUUGAAGUAUGGCCUGCCCACUGACAUUUUUGUUGAAGGGCCGCGGUAUUUUGACCGUGCAAAGGUAGCAUAAUCAUUAGUUCUUUAAUUGUGAUCUGGUAUGAAUGGCUUGACGAGGUAUAAUCUGUCUUAAUUGUAUUGUUGAUUGAAUUUAGUUUUUGAGUUAAAAUUCUUAGAUGUUUUUAUGGGACGAGAAGACCCUAUAGAGUUUUACAUUUAUUUCUGUAUUAUUUUAUUUGUUUGUUUUUGUUAUAAAGUGGAUUAAAUGUUUUGUUGGGGUGAUGGGAAGAAUUUUUUUAACUCUUCUUUGUUUUUAUAUACUUAUUUGUGUUUUUUUUGAUCCAUUUGUUUUGAUUAUAAGAUUAAAUUACCUUAGGGAUAACAGCGUUAUCUUUCCUGAGAGUUCUUAUUGGCGGGAAGGUUUGCGACCUCGAUGUUGGAUUAAGAUUAAUUUUCGGUGCAGAAGCUGAAAUUGAUUAGGUCUGUUCGACCUUUAAAAUCUUACAUGAUCUGAGUUCAGACCGGCGUGAGCCAGGUUGGUUUCUAUCUAUAAAUUUUUGUUAUAUCUUAGUACGAGAGGACCGGAUAUUUGGAAUAAUUUUAUUGUUGUUGGAUGAUGUUAAUACGUUACUAUUUUGGCAGAUAAGUGCAUUGGAUUUAGAAUCUAUUAA